GUUACAUUUAUAGUUUUUCCAAUUUAAAUUUAUAUAUGUCUAGAGUAAAAUUAAUAUACAUAUAUACAUAUAUAUAAAGUUCUAUUUAUAAAUGCAUAUAGUUUUAUUUGAAGAGGAAUACAGAUGUUCAGAGGGACAGAUUUCUGUUUGUGUAGCCUUAGGCUGCAUUUCAACCUCCUUCCCCCUCAGCUGCCUUUUUCACCUCUUGUUUUUCCCCCUGUGCCCCCUCUGUCCCCUCUUCCUGUGCUGGGUCCGAGCUGGGGCCAGGAUGGGCAGAGCAGCAGUUCCGGCGCCGGCUGUCCCUGGAGCGGUGGGAGCUGCCAGUGGCCCCAGGCACUGUCCCCUGAGGAGCUGCUGAAGGACGACGCUGCCCUGAAGACCUUGAGGCCAGCCAGACACUGACAGGAGCCAGCAGGGAGAAGCUGAAGACCACGAGCAAGAGCAGUGAACAGGGAGCUGCUGCUGCCACCCCGAGAGCCUGGAUGUCCCAUCUGCUGUCCUUGUCCAGGAGAGCUGGCUGCUCUGCACGGGAGGAAGAGACCAAGGGAGAGGCUUUGAAGAUGGGGGGGCUGAGUUCCCUGUCUAAAGAUGAAUGGACUUACGCAUAAAGAGGGAUAAUUAUGUGGAUAUUUAUAUAUGUAUAUAUGUAUAUUCCUAUUUGUAUAGGAAUAUUUCUGUAUAUAUGUUUUUCUAUUUAUGGAUGUAUUCUUUAUACAUAUGUAUGGAUCUAUACACAUCCAUGUUUAUAAUUACAUAUGUGUAUAUAAGUAUACAUAUAUGUUGUUACAGCUGUGUUAAAUUCUAUUUCCUAUGUAUACAGCUGUGUGGGUAUCUAUUUCUGUUGAUGCAAUUACAGUUCUUUGGCUCUUUAAAUAGGUAUAUUGCUAUUUGCAUAGGUAGAUAUGUGCAUUUUUAUAUUUUUAUCUGUAUAUUGGCAUUUCUGUGUGGAAUUCUAUUUAUAUAUGUAUCCAGAUGCAUAGCUGUACAUUUGUAUUGAUGGAGUUGUGUGGACAUUUAGCUUGAUAUUUUUAUAUUUAUAGAUAGGUCUGUUUUAUAUAUCUGCUUAUAUACAUUGUAUGUAAUAUUUAAUCUAUAUGUACAUCUGUAGAUUGUUACAGUUAUACACAUCCAUAUGUAUUUGUGUACAGCUGUGUAUUUAGUUCCAUUUAAACAUGUAUGGAGUAGUAGAGUUGUGAUCACUAUUUGUACAAUGUUAUUUAGAGAGGGAAAGCAUUAUUUCUACAUGAGCCAUAUGUUUUUAGUAAUAUGUAAUAAAUUGUUAAACAUCUAAUUGAUUUUUAUGUAUAGUGAGUUGUUGUAGAGGCUGGAAAUAAAUUACGCUUUGUUAACAUAA